rnacentral:rRNA from 1 species
UUAUCAAAAGAUUUAUCGCUGAAAGAUGAGCUCGCGUCUGAUUAGCUAGUUGGUAAGGUAACGGCUUACCAAGGCGACGAUCAGUAGCCGGACUGAGAGGUUGAUCGGCCACAUUGGGACUGAGACACGGCCCAGACUCCUACGGGAGGCAGCAGUGGGGAAUAUUGCACAAUGGAGGAAACUCUGAUGCAGCGAUGCCGCGUGAGGGAAGAAGGUUUUAGGAUUGUAAACCUCUGUCUUCAGGGACGAAAAAAGACGGUACCUGAGGAGGAAGCUCCGGCUAACUACGUGCCAGCAGCCGCGGUAAUACGUAGGGAGCGAGCGUUGUCCGGAAUUACUGGGUGUAAAGGGAGCGUAGGCGGGAUCGCAAGUCAGAUGUGAAAACUAUGGGCUUAACCCAUAAACUGCAUUUGAAACUGUGGUUCUUGAGUGAAGUAGAGGUAAGCGGAAUUCCUAGUGUAGCGGUGAAAUGCGUAGAUAUUAGGAGGAACAUCAGUGGCGAAGGCGGCUUACUGGGCUUUAACUGACGCUGAGGCUCGAAAGCGUGGGGAGCAAACAGGAUUACAUACCCUGGUAGUCCACGCCGUAAACGAUGAUUACUAGGUGUGGGGGGACUGACCCCUUCCCGGCCGCAGCAAACGCAAUAAGUAGUCCACCUGGGGAGUACGCCCGCAGGGUUGAAAUUCAAAGGAAUUGACGGGGACCCGCACAAGCGGUGGAGCAUGUGGUUUAAUUCGAAGCAACGCGAAGAACCUUACCAGGUCUUGACAUCCUUCUGACCGCACCUUAAUCGGUGCUCUCCUUCGGGACAGAAGAGACAGGUGGUGCAUGGUUGUCGUCAGCUCGUGUCGUGAGAUGUUGGGUUAAGUCCCGCAACGAGCGCAACCCCUAUCUUCAGUAGCCAGCAGGUAAGGCUGGGCACUCUGGAGAGACUGCCAGGGAUAACCUGGAGGAAGGUGGGGACGACGUCAAAUCAUCAUGCCCCUUAUGAUCUGGGCGACACACGUGCUACAAUGGCGGUCACAGAGUGAGGCGAACCCGCGAGGGGGAGCAAACCACAAAAAGGCCGUCCCAGUUCGGACUGUAGUCUGCAACCCGACUACACGAAGCUGGAAUCGCUAGUAAUCGCGAAUCAGAAUGUCGCGGUGAAUACGUUCCCGGGUCUUGUACA